UACGUAGGACGCAAGCGUUGUCCGGAAUCACUGGGUGUAAAGGGUGCGUAGGCGGGCAGGUAAGUCAGUGGUGAAAUCUCACGGCUCAACCGUGAAACUGCCGUUGAUACUGCUUUUCUUGAGUUUGGGAGAGGUCGAUGGAAUUCCAGGUGUAGCGGUGAAAUGCGUAGAUAUCUGGAAGAACACCAGUGGCGGAGGCGGUCGACUGGCCCAUAACUGACGCUGAGGCACGAAAGCGUGGGGAGCGAACAGG
rnacentral:rRNA from 1 species